UUACGGCCAUAUCACGCUAAAACACUAAUUCCUCUACGAUCAUCGAAGUUAAGCAACGUUGAGCUUGGUCAUUACUUAGAUGGGUGACCACUUACAAAUACCACGUGCUGUAAG